GAGCAGGCGGCACCAUGGACUGAGCACCUCCCAGGUUCCAAGCCCUGGGCCAGACUGGAACAUGGGGGGCCAGAACCCAAGAGGAUCCUGAGGAGACAGACGGCAGCAAACAAAAUCAUGCACAAUGGUGAAAGGUGCUCUCCCUGACCCAUGGGGACCCAUGGUAGGACCCUCGGGAGGGUGGCAGGUUGGAGGGCCCGUAAGCCUCCCCAGGCAACACUGAUAGUACCAAAAGCUGGGGAGAUUCAGGGACCUGGAAACUGUCAUCCAGGUCUGCUGGGAACGUGACAUGGCACAGCCACUUUGGCAGCCAGUUGGGCAGUGGCUCACAAAGUUCAAUGGACUUGAACCACGCGUCCCCAAAGUGUCACAGAUAUUGAACCCACUGAUUUGAAAACUGACGUCCACAUGAAACCUGCAGGCCAGGUUCACUGCUUGAUUCCUCGUCACUCACACACGGAGCCUUCGGGGAUGGCCUUCAACACGGGAAUGGGGAGAACAAGGCUGGUCCUCCCUUCAAACGGAAGACCCAGUGAGAAAAGGGAACGAGCCAGUGAUGCCCGCAUGAACGUGGGUGGAUCCUAGGUGCAUUUUGCUAAGGGAAAGAAGCCAGACCCAAUAAGCUACCAAAGUAGGAUUCCCAUUCUUAGGCCAUUGUGGAAAAGGCCAAACCAUAGGGACUGAGAAGCAGUCUGGGUGGCCAGGGGCUGACGGAUCGGGGAGAGGCUGGGUGCAUAGGGGCCACCCUGGAGACUUGGAGGAUGAAGGAGUCGCUCCAGGAGGGGCUGGAGUGGUAGCCGGGAGACUCUGCACAUUGGUUUAGAACCAUGGAGGACCUGUACACCCAAAGACUGAAUUGGCGUGUGUGCAAACUGAAAAAAAAAAGAUCAUUCAGAGUGAAAAGGAUCAGGCAAGUCACUGUACAACUGGGCUAUUUGCAUGUCACAGAUGUGGAUUUUACUGAAACAUUUCUUCAACAGUCAAAGUCCCUGAAGAGCUCACUGCUUAUCUGGUGAAUCAUCUGAACCUGAAAUGGGAUUUGUUGUUAGGGUUUGUAGACAAAGUGAAACUAACAGCAUCUGCACAACACAAACCAAAGCCCCCUUUCUCUGUUUCCCAGGCAGCAGGAACUAUUCUACAUCCUCCUGGCAUAUUCGAAGUAUAACCCAGUGAGUAUUCCUGGCAGUGAGGUUCCCAGGCCGUAUUUCCAUAUUCACAGGAGUGGGUGUCUGGUGGGAGUGUCGUUGCUUCUUUUAAAGUUAGUAUUUGUGACCCACCAGGAUAUAGGAGGUAGGAUUCCAGCUCACCGCUGGCAUAAACCUCCAGCAAGGGGGUGGUCUCAAGGGGUCAAGCUGAGACACAGAGGAGUCAGGGCCUGGACUCCUGGUGUCACCUGGGCCUGACCACCACUUAUCGGAACAAGCCCCUCCUCCUGGGGCUGCCCCAAAGCCCGGGAGCUUGGCAGCAUCACACACAGAAUGGUGCUAUCAGGAGACAUUUUGGACAAGGUGCUGAAGUGCCCGAUGGAUAUGGCUCUUGUCAUGAAAUGAAUUUGCAUCCUGAGGAAGUCUCUUCUUCAGAGGAAGCCUUCCCAGUCACCUCUGCCCUCUCCGAUGACAUGAGUCCUCCCAGGUGACCUCAGCCCUCCCAAGUGACUUACUUCCACGGUGACUCUGGCUGUUGCAGGUGGUGGGCUACUGCAGGGACCUGAGCCACAUCGCUGCCUUGUUCCUCCUUUAUCUGCCUGAGGAGGACACAUUCUGGGCACUGGUGCAGCUGCUGGCCAGUGAGAGGCACUCCUGCAGGCUUGUUGGGAGCCUUUAGGACGUCUCUGCUGACGGUCCCAAAGGAACCCGGAACUGACCCCCCAGAGCCCAAGUCAGACGCCUUUCAUCCCCAUCAGCAGAAGGCAUCUCAUCCUCCCCGUGGCUGCCCUCUGUGUCCUGGAGCCACGCCCUCCGGCUCUGAUUCUGUGCAGCUGGCUCUCCGCAACCUGAGAGUCCUCCUGCCCUUCAGUUGCUCAGGCUCCAGCUGCCCUUGGUACCCACGAAAGGGUACCAAGCCCAGAUGGCAGCAUCUCCCCAUCCCGUGUCCCUUGGCCCAGCCCCACUUCCAGGAGACGACCACAAAGCCCAGCACCCACCCUGUUCUGGCCGCCCCCUGUCGUGGCCUCAAAGUCAGGCUUGCCCUCCCGGCACCCUGGCCCAGGAGGCCUCCAGGGGCACCUCCAGCCAGGCUCCAGGGGAUGUUCCCACCCCUCCUCCCCAGGGCCAAGGCCACAUGGUGGGGUCACCAGAUGGGAGGGUGGGAGGCCUCGGGGUCUGGGGGGCUCUGCAGCUGCCCAGCUCUUCCAGCUGAUGGCUCCACAUCUUGGGGGAAGGCUCUGAUUUCAUGACGGGCUGGGGGCUUCUCAGGAUUCCACAGCCCAAAUGGCGGGACAGUUCAGGGGCUCCAAGACCAUCAGGAGCAUGUGGUACCCACAUCACAACCCAAGACCAUGGGGCAUCUGGACAAGGAAGGUCUAUGCACACAGGGUUCCUCAUUCAGCUGGCUUCUCCGGGUGCUGAAUGAUGGGAUCUCUCUCGGGCUCACCCCGUGCCUGUGGGAUAUGUAUUUGCUGGAAGGGGAACAGAUGUUGAUGCUGAUAACAAGCAUUGCCUUUAAGGUUCAAAGGAGCCUCUAUGAAGAAACUAACAAGGAAACAUGGGGACCUGCCACCCCCAGGGCCCUCAAGGGCACUGGAAGAGCCAGACCCAUUUGUGAGAGCCUCCACUCCUCCCUGCAAGCGCUGACAGCCUCAGAGAGCAGCAGAGGCCCCUCACUCCUGCAGACUCCUCCAAGGGUGCCAGGACAACAAGCCUUGAGCCGGGGAGACAAGGGAAUCAGUGUCUCAUUAUCUCUACCAUCUCUACCAUCUCGGAGAGGGAGAUGUGGCAGGAUAAUAGGGUAAUAGUGGGGUGAGGGUCAGCAGGAAAACAUGAACAAAUGUCUCUGUGUCAUAAACAAGGUUAAGGAAAA
ensembl:lncRNA novel transcript